CGGCGAGUGAAGCGGCAACAGCUCAAAUUUGAAAUCUGGCGCAAGCCCGAGUUGUAAUUUGUAGAGGAUGCUUCUGGGUAGCGACCGGUCUAAGUUCCUUGGAACAGGACGUCAUAGAGGGUGAGAAUCCCGUAUGUGACCGGCCCGCACCCUUUACGUAGCUCCUUCGACGAGUCGAGUUGUUUGGGAAUGCAGCUCUAAAUGGGAGGUAAAUUUCUUCUAAAGCUAAAUACCGGCCAGAGACCGAUAGCGCACAAGUAGAGUGAUCGAAAGAUGAAAAGUACUUUGGAAAGAGAGUUAAAAAGCACGUGAAAUUGUUGAAAGGGAAGCGCCUGCAAUCAGACUUCGCGGCAGUGUUCCGCCGGUCUUCUGACCGGUUCAUUCUCUGUCGCGAGGCCAUCAUCGUCUCGGCCCGCUGGAUAAGACCUUGGGAAUGUAGCUCACCUUCGGGGGAGUGUUAUAGCUCAUGGUGAUGCAGCGAGGCUGGGGCGAGGUCCGCGCUUCGGCAAGGAUGAUGGCGUAAUGGUUGUCGGCGGCC
rnacentral:rRNA from 1 species